UACAGAGGUCUCGAGCGUUAGGCGGAAUCACUGGGCUUAAAGCGUGUGUAGGUGGAUCGUUAAGUACCUUGUGAAAUCCCACGGCUUAACCGUGGAACUGCUUGGUAUACUGGCGGUCUUGAGCCACUUAGGGGCUACCGGAACAAAUGGUGGAGCGGUGAAAUGCGUAGAUAUCAUUUGGAACGCCAAUGGUGAAAACAGGUAGCUGGGAGUGUGCUGACGCUGAGACACGAAAGCCAGGGGAGCGAACGGG
rnacentral:rRNA from 1 species